UGCCAACUCUGACACCCACCUGCUUCAGGGGCAGAGCCUGACCCUGACCUUGGAGAGCCCCCCUGGUAGUAGCCCCUCAGUGCAAUGUAGGAGUCCAAGGGGUAAAAACAUACAGGGGGGGAAGACCCUCUCCGUGUCUCAGCUGGAGCUCCAGGAUAGUGGCACCUGGACAUGCACUGUCUUGCAGAACCAGAAGAAGGUGGAGUUCAAAAUAGACAUCGUGGUGCUAGGUAAGG
rnacentral:lncRNA from 1 species